UGGAAAUGAUGAAAUAGAGAUAAUUGGGUGUUGAAUGUUGUAUGAUUGGAAGAUUUUAAUACGUAAGUAAUCUAAGUUUAAUAUUUUUUAGCUAUUUGUUAGAGUGUGUGUGCAUGUGUGUGUGCUUGUGGAGGCUAUGAAAAGGGGGCACUGACUGGUGAUGCUGACGUUGGAGUGCAUCUGAGGCUGUUGUAGAAAUACAUGGGUUGUUGAUUACAACAUUGCCGAUGAUUAUAACCCAAGAACAGCUCACCUAAGUAGCCUAGCACCCUAAAAUCUCUAACAGGUUCAUUAAACAUGAUCCUGUGAUCUGAUCCAA
rnacentral:snoRNA from 1 species